rnacentral:rRNA from 1 species
AGAGUUUGAUCAUGGCUCAGAACGAACGCUGGCGGCAUGCUUAACACAUGCAAGUCGAACGCGUGGUUUCGGUUCGCCGGGGCCACGAGUGGCGCACGGGUGAGUAGCGCGUGGGAACCUGCCCUCUUGUGGGGGAUAACCGAGGGAAACCUCGGCUAAUACCGCAUAAGCCCGGCUGUCCUGAGAGGGAUGGUUGGGGAAAGAUUUAUCGCGAGAGGAGGGGCCCGCGUCGGAUUAGCUUGUUGGUGGGGUAACGGCCUACCAAGGCGAUGAUCCGUAGCUGGUCUGAGAGGAUGAUCAGCCACACUGGGACUGAGACACGGCCCAGACUCCUACGGGAGGCAGCAGUGGGGAAUAUUGGACAAUGGGCGCAAGCCUGAUCCAGCAAUGCCGCGUGAGUGAGGAAGGCCUUAGGGUUGUAAAGCUCUUUCACCCGCGACGAUGAUGACGGUAGCGGGAGAAGAAGCCCCGGCUAACUUCGUGCCAGCAGCCGCGGUAAUACGAAGGGGGCGAGCGUUGUUCGGAUUUACUGGGCGUAAAGGGCGCGCAGGCGGCUUAUUUUGUCAGGCGUGAAAGCCCCAGGCUUAACCUGGGAACUGCGUUUGAUACGGAUAGGCUAGAGUUCGGGAGAGGAGAGUGGAAUUCCCAGUGUAGAGGUGAAAUUCGUAGAUAUUGGGAAGAACACCGGUGGCGAAGGCGGCUCUCUGGACCGAGACUGGCGCUGAGGCGCGAAAGCGUGGGGAGCAAACAGGAUUAGAUACCCUAGUAGUCC